rnacentral:rRNA from 1 species
UACGUAGGGUGCAAGCGUUAAUCGGAAUUACUGGGCGUAAAGCGCACGUAGGCGGCUUUGUAAGUUAGAGGUGAAAGCCCAGGGCUUAACUCUGGAAUUGCCUUUAAGACUGCAUCGCUAGAAUCGUGGAGAGGUGAGUGGAAUUCCGAGUGUAGAGGUGAAAUUCGUAGAUAUUCGGAAGAACACCAGUGGCGAAGGCGACUUACUGGACACAUAUUGACGCUGAGGUGCGAAAGCGUGGGGAGCAAACAGG